CAUGGUCACAUGGUCGUGACAUCAUGGAAGGUUCUGUACCUACAUCAGCACAGUGUAGAGCCUGACUCCUCCCACACAUGGUCACAUGGUUGUGACAUCAUGAAAGGUCCUUUAGCCCCCCAGUCUCUCCCCCAUACAUGUAUUAUACAGCGGUGCAGCUGGAGAUUCCUACAAUAUAGGAUCCCCUCAGUUGGAGAUUUUCUACAUUAAAUCCUUCUCCUGACUGACCCGUCAAAGAUGGAUAGGGACAGGGACAAGAUGGCAGAGAGUAUAAUAAAUCUUACCCUGGAGAUCCUCUUCCGGCUUACUGGAGAGGACUACACAGUAGUGAAGAAGACCUCUAGUGAGCAUUGUAAGGCCCCUGUAUCUGUAGGAUGGGGAAGAACCCUGAGCCCAAUCAUGGA